CCGAACUCCCUGCCUGAGGUGUGAGGGAAGGUGUUUCCUCCAUAGGAAGGAACCAAGGAAAGAGACCAGGAUCAAGCAAAGUUUAAACUUUUUCAGUCUCUCCACAUCUUCCCCGAUCUAUCAGACCUGGCAAGAAACGUGUUGAGAGCCAUCUGAAAGAAGGACAGGUACGUGGACGUGGCCCGGGGCUGGUCUGGUCCUGCUGUCUCCUUAGUCGGUGAUGUGGCCAG
rnacentral:lncRNA from 1 species